CUCCCAGAGGCGUCGACAGUUUCUCUCAGGUCUUCUCAGGGCCCCCUUCCUGUCGAUCCUCGGGUGGCCAUGGGGGACCUUGACAAUCAGGACAUCUUGGCCAUCUUCAACCGCCUCCGCUCGGUGCUUAUUAGCCAGGUAGCGGCCGCCUUGCGAGCUCGGGACCGCGCAGCGGGCGUGGGAGGCGGAGCCGGCCAGUUGUUAAACGGCCGAGUUCGCCCGCGCGGGGAUCGAAGUGACUUCGCUCGCCCACGCCUGUGAGCAACCCUCGGUCGUGCUCCGGUAGACGUCCGGUCCGCUCACUGCUCUAGCCGAGUUUGGUGGCGUCUCCCCAGGAAGAGCUACAGGCACCUCACUUGAGAGGCGCGAGCUGGUCGCGAUCCAGUUCCUGGUCACUUGAGCUUCUCACAGGGCUGUCCGAGUGUCUUCAAUUCAUGGUUAUGUAGUAGUGACCCGCUGAAGAGAGAAGUCGGUGCCAGUAUUUUUUUUUUUCAAGGUAACGCCUCUCUACUUAGACCCACCUGACCUUGAACUAAAUCUUCCUGCCUCUGCCUCCCGAGUGCUGGGACUUUCGGUACGCUGUUUACCAUCUUGAAAGUUGUAUCCUGACGCUUUUGCCACAUUUUACUGGUCACGCCGAGCACCUUGGUAAAAAGUGAGGCAGAAAUUGCACAAGAGAUAGAGCCACUGCCCGAUGGAUGGUAAGAGACAGUGUCCCAGAGGGACUACGCUCCUGCUCUGCCCUCAUUUCCGUGCUAGGUUCCUAGCUGGAUGUUAAGAGUACAAUUCCUGGCAUGGGAUAUGACUGAACAUACUAUUUAGCUGUACAAGUAGAUGUACAAGAAGAAAUGGUACUUAUUACAAAGAAAGACAAGGUUUCUUGGUUUUAAGUAAAUACAACAUAAUACAUCCUACAAGUGACUGGACUCUUAGGUCUUCGUGAUGGAAGACCACCAUGAUACCAUUACUCUCCCAGUAAUGAAAUGAGGUGCCAAUGAUGAAACAUGGUCACAGUUAGCUCCCUUACAAGAUUCCUUCCCAAACAUCUGACCAGGACCAAGACUGGACUUUCUCAUCUGUGAUACUUAAUAGUGGAGCGCUUUCCCAUAUACCUGGUUCUGGUUCUGUUGAGAGGACCUACCUAGGUGACUUUCUUCAGCCCUGCCCGUGCCAUAGAAGUUGGACCACAUGCCUUUGAAGGCUUCGCAAACCUUUGGAAGUCUUUUUCUGAGCAUGCCGUGGUGUGUUGAUGACCCCAUGAAGACAAGAGGCAGUUCCUUUUGUAGCUGGGAUGACAGUGCCGAUUCCUACUGGAAGAAGGACAGCAGGCAAGACACCUAGACUACUGUGAAAAGCACAGGCUCUGCAGACAGAUGUGAGCUGCAGGACCAGGAAGCCAGAACUGCAGGCUGAAGUGGCUUCUGUACCCUGCUUUCCAGCACUCACUUCACACCCAGAGUGGCUGGCAGAAGGCCAUCAGUGUGCAGAGAGGCAGUUGGAGCCAGGAUAUUAGUGGGCCAGCAUAGCACAUCUUUUGCUGCCUAGGCUGCAGCCAAGCAGGGGUCAGCAGGAGCCAUCAGCUGCUUUGAUGCUCUUCCCAGCUUUUGAUAAACGGUUUUGUAGCUAAAUCAGAGACAGAAAGGCAGCUCUACAAAAGGCAGGGCCCAGCCAUCAUUCUCACAGCCACAGCAGGCCCUGUAGCCUGCAUGAUGGUCUCUGCAGUCUACACAAAUCUGUUUCCCAGACACAGGAAUGCCAUUCCCGGGCCGUCACAUGUACAGAUGCAGACACCAUCCUCCAGAACCUGGGACCCACCAACAAAUAAGUUUCACACCAAACCAGGUGGCACACUGAGACUUGCCCUGCGUCGGAUCCUGGGAGUGCUAUGUGGGUAGCAACUGUGCAGUCCCACUGGCUCAGGUCAUGUUGAGAUAGAAGCCAUUAGAGGAGAAUGUCAGAAUGUCCCCUCCUCCAUUGCUCUCAGGAGAGCUGGAGGUUCCCUCCCCAAGUGAAAGGUAGUAUGGGAGGAGGGCAGAACUACAAGGCCAAGUCCAGCCUCCUGAAACAAAAACAAGGUCUUGGCUGUACCUGAUAGGUCACUUACUAUCUACAUAGGCAGGUCUUUACUUUUUCUGAGCCUCAAUUUCCUUCAGUGCUGAAUAUCUAGGGAUUGAAUUGCAUUCUCCAAAAACAAUGACUGAAGUCUUAACCUUGGGGGGUGACCUUUGCUGAAAACAGGGUCUUUUAGAGGUGAACAACUUAAACAGGUUCAGUAAAGCGGCCCCUUUAUAAGGACAGCAGCCCUUAUAAAGGAGGAGAAAUCUAUACUGCAUAUUCAGGGGAAGAUGGCCAGAGGACUGGAGAGAAGUGGGCAGCUGUCUGGAAAGCUGAGGACUGUGGCAGACCCCACAAGCUAGAAGAGGCACUUCUAGCCUUCAGGGGGAGUGUGGCCACACCUUGGUUUUUCACUUGUGUCUUCUAGAACUGAGUGGCGAGCUUCCCUUGUUAUCUGCCAUGCAGCCCAGAUUCUGUUACAGCAGCCCUAGGAGUGACUACAUCGUGUAUCAUCCCUCUCCCAGUGGCCUGGAAUAGAGAGACAGGCUGUGCUGAUUCAGGCCUUUGCCACAGCCAAAUACAAACACAGUGGAAGGUACCUCACACACAGAAGAGCAGGAUACAGUCCCAGCCCUGUCUCUUUUCCUGUCCCCUAAAAACUGUGUAGCAGCUCAGUUUUCUCAUCAGCUCAGUUCUGCCUACUUUCUAGGAUGUCACAGAGACGAAAUAACAGCAGAGCGGCCAUGACUUCACCAUCUUUUUAAAAGAGACAAAGGGGAUGUCACUUUCUGCUGACAACAAGCUUUAACUUGACAUUCAUUUCUCAAUGAUUCUGCCAGAUGGAUGAAGGAAGUAGAUUUCUAUCCCAUCAUCUGUCCUGCUUUCUGGGUUCUCUUGAUGCAGGCACACCAUGUCAUAAGUCAAACUGGAGUGUCUUUCCAUUCUGGCCUCCCCAGGACCUACAGUCACCAAGGAUGUCAAUGGUCCAGCUGGCAGCAGGGAUGAGAAAACGUCUACAAGGGACUGUCCUGGGGGCAGAAGACUUGAGGCCUGGCCAAUGCUGUACCAGCCCUAGUGGAUUUUCAGAAUGCUGGUCCUGGCUGUGGUACCGGAACAGUUUCCCUUGCUGCCCAGACCCAUUUUGAGCUGGCAGCAUCAAGUCCCCCAUGCCUUCCCUGUUUUAAGCCUAUCAAGGCUAUGCUGUAUGCUGGCUCUGCAAACAGGCCCUCUGGGCAUCUGUGAUGUGGUGUGUAAAGCCCUCUCAGAAGAAGUGCAAGUGCUUCAAACUGCUGGCACUGCUUGAACACCUGCUUCAUGUUCUCUGUGUACUUGAUGUGGUCUGAUUAAGCUCCUUCAGGGCCUUUUCAUACUUGUCCUUGGUCUAUGUUGAAACUGACACAGAGGUUUGCUUCCAUCCCACCUCUGUUUACCCCAUGUGCCCCGAUGCUUCGCAGGCCUCCCCAGAUUCCAGAUCCAAUCCCUGUGCUUCUCCAUGGCAAGUUGCUCUCUCUCUACCUGCUCUGCCUCUUACUGGAGCAAAGCCCAAACAGGUAGAUAUAGACAGGAGACGGUCACACCAACACUCAGUGUCCUGGGUUCCAAGCAUACUUCUAUGUUGGUGGCACAGUUGUGAGCAUAGCUGCUGCCUUUGUUCAUGACAUGCUUGUUUCCAGUUUGUCAGUGGAGAGCGCUGUGCUGUCCAAUGCUCUCGCCUAGGUCUGGCCCCAGCAGCUGUGGUAUGUGAGGCACCUUAGAGACAAGGUCAUUGUCUUAAAUGCCAAGUGGUCCUCGGUCUCACUUUCAUUACUAGAAAAUGAGAAUACUAUCUGUAUCAGUAUUUUGAGACUUAAAUGACUAGUACAAAGGUACAUGGAUUAGACAUUUCUAAAGUCUGUCCAUUCAGCUUCUUUUUCAAGGAUUUCUGGAGGAAGGCCAUUUAGUUAAAAGGAUAGAUUAAGAGCAAUAUGGUCCAGCUUAAGCAAGUCUCUGGACAGAAUGUGUUAAUCCCUAGGAUGUGGUGAAAGUGGAAGCCUGACAAGUGUGCUCAGGCUUGGAGACCACACUCGCCCAGGCUUGUGUACUCUCCAUACCAUGCUAAUCUGUUGCUUUUGUGGCUUCAGACAGUUUGUUUGGUGAUAGGAGCUUCCUGGGAGUGAGGGGAAGCUGGGUUCUGGGAAUACCUAUUUAUUGAAGAGCUUUCCAUAUGUGUCUCUAACAACUGAAAGGUGUCCAAGGUUGCAUGAGAGAAGUACAUGGUGUUCUUCCUAAAGCAGGUACUAUGCCGAUGCUCAGCACACCUCACCAGCCUGUGAUUAACCCUCGGUGUCCAUUACUAUAAGCAUAUGGCCACCUCAGUGUUCCAUCUGUAGCCUCUCAGGUGGAGGUCCAGUAGAGUCACUCUUCUUCGGCUUCCCUGGAGCCAAAGGAAAAACAGGCUUUUCCUGUUUUAUACUCUGUGGUGCACUCUGCUACCUACAAGUAGAAGGAGAGCUAAUGGCCACAUUGCUCAAAGUGGCCUUCAUGUGGAAGACUCCGUUCUCAGAUUCUUUUCUGAGGACUCUAGACUUUCUGAAGGCUCUGUGCCUCUUCAUUUCCUUGAAACCUCCCCAUGGCUGUGUUAAAAGUUGUCAUUGCUGUCUUGUGUGUCUGUGUGUGUGUGUGUGUGUACUGUCAAGAUGAGGAACAGGUAUACACUAGGUAAACUAUCACUACAAGGGGUCAUCAGAAAAGGACCUCACUUGGUCACUCUUGACUGCUAAUUUCUUUUUGAUUUAUACGAUAAUACUGCUUUUGAAUAGUUUCCUUGCUCCUUAAAAAGCAAAGGACUUCACUCCACGGGUACUUGGCAAGUAAUUGUCCACCUGCCAGACACUCUGGGAGUGGGUAACCUGCCCCUUGUUGCUUUACAACAUGCUUGUGCUGCAUUCCAGACAGCAAGCUUCUGCUUUUGUUACCAAGAGAGACAAGUCAGCAGACUGAGAUUAUCUGCAUCCAACUCCAGGCCAGGUACUGAGAGACCAGCUGGUAGAUUAGAGAGUGAUGCCAGCUAGCAAAAUGCAGAGCUAAGAGUGCCUGACAUCUCAUGUUGAUCUAGGGGAAGGGACAGCUUCCCAUAGUUGUUGACACUGAACUUUAAAGCCUUCUGCUUUCAUGUCAUAAAAGACGAUUACUACUUUCUAGUUAUUCUCACUUCCUGAGCACCUUUGUUAUGCUAGGCACCAUGUUUAUGGUUCAGCCUCUGAAUAUUGCCUAUUCCCAAGCAAGUUGGAAUAGCUGUCCCCAUUUCACAGAUGAGGAAACUGAAGCUUAGGGCAGUCACUAUAUCUGCCGGAGACCCGCAGCUCAGUAGCUGGACUGGAGCUGAAAAUAGCCAUUUGUACAGUUCCUGGUAGAGACAGUCUCAAGAGCAAAACUUGAUUAUUACCUGCUUUGUCAAGAGCAUAUUGAGUAUUGACUGACUCCCCCCCCCCCCCCACACACACACAUUUAAGUUAGGAAUUUGUAAAAAAUGAAAAUGCCAAUGGUUAAUUUAGGGUGAAAAUAAAAAUACUCAAAAUGUUUCAUCCUUUGAGCUGUGGUCUUUAUAGGGUACUGGCAUUAACACUGAAGGUCCCCCAGGAUAAAAAAGGAUCUGUUCUCAUCUUUUUCCUCCCAUGAUCUUCACAGUAUUAGCCAACACCUUUUUAUUCUGUUUGCCUGGCUGGCCAUCCAGUACGUCUCUCUGCAUUGUUCUUCAUCUGUGGCAGCAGUUCAGAGCUGCUGACAAGAGGAAAGCUACACGUUGACAUUUUUGAUUUUCAUCUGCAUUGAGCAAAAGUUACCUCAAUCAGUUGCUGAUAGUUUUGAUGACCACAAAGGGAUUCUUAGAGGGCCUAAAGAAGACAACCAGUUCUGAUGAUGGUGCAAAUUUGCCUUGUGACUGCCUGAACCUUGGCUUCAAUUUUAGUCAAUAGACACUUGGCUGUCUACAAUGUGUACCUCUACCCACCAUAAUAUAACCUUCUCUGCUUGUCCUGUAUUCUUUCUGUCACCUUCUCGUGGCCCCAGUUUAAUCUCCCCUUUGGACUGCAGACUGGCCGAGCACUGUAAGGGUCUGUAGGCUUUGUCUUUGUUCUGCUGACUUGUUACUCUAUUCCAGUAGACUCUGGCUUCUGAAACUUUGUUUGAGCUAGUCUGGUGAUUCAUGCCUACAAUCCUAGCACUCAGGAGUUGGAUGUAGCCAACCUGAGCUACAUAGUGAGUUCCAGACCAGCUUGGGCUACAAAGUGAUACCCUGUCUCCAAAAAUAAGAAAAAGGGAAGGAAGAGAUUUUAGGUAGGGCUGCCACUCACACUGCUCUGUGCCUUGUCCCUGUCUGAAGCCUCGGGGCUUGUUUUGUGAGCACCUUUAAUUCCAGUUCUCACACCCUGUCUACAGGGCCAGUGCCUAGUACCAUUACCAUUUCCAGGAGUGCCAUGAAAAGCAACUAAAGAAUAGGCCUAGGAAUCACCCCAUGGUUCAAGAAAAAAACACUUCGCAAUGCCUGACAACAGUUUUAAUGAGGUUAAAAGACCAAUUGGCUGGAUGUUGGAUUAGUCUGCUCUUGAAGGAAGAAGACUCCUUUAUCUAAUCUUUUACAGAGUUAUACCAGGACCCUCAUCUGAGAGACUCCUAACUAAGCUCCUACAUCUACAGACCCUGUGAUCUAGACGGGAAGAUAGAAAAGUUUUAGGAAGGACCUCAGACCCUGGUCAGAGGGGGAAUAGAUAAAAGUCAGUACCUUGUGGCAACCACCUCAGGGUAAUUCUAAAUUCAAAAAUAUGCCCCCAAAUAAAUCUAACAAGAACCAAGGCACCUGACUGAGAGCCAAUGCCUAUUUAGCCAAAACGAAGGGUACUAGGAAAUGGCUGCUUUGUAAAGGGCUGGCCAGGCAGUAGCCCCCACCCAAGUGCAGCCAUGUUUAGCCCUUGGGUUAAGGAAGCCCAUGAACUUCAAUGUCAUUAUCAGUGGGACAUUCUAUGACACUUGUGUCCAAUUGUUACUGUUAUCCCAUACAUUGUGGUAUUAGUGUUUGGGUUUAAAAUGUCACCCCAAGCACUGAUAGGUGGAAAGCUCCUCAGCUAGUGUGGUACUGUUGAGGAAUGAUUGGAUCCUAAGGUUGUUGACAUCAAUGAACUAAUCUGUUCAUUAUUUGGUAUUUGAAUGGACAGACCUUGGGACCUCUUUGCAGAAAGUGGGAAACUGGAGGAGUGCCCUGGAAAGAGUAUCUUGUUCCUAACCCAGUAUUCUAUCAUAAGGAAAACACUCUGCCAAGUGUUUCUAUGAUGUUUAGUUUUGCCUCAUACAGUGAUGAGCCCAAAGAACCAUGGACUGAAGCUAUGAGCCAAAAUAAGUUUUACGUCUUUACUCAUUUCAGUUGUAUCCAGCAUUUUGACACAACAGUAGAUGCUAAAAAAUGAAAUUGUUGGGGCUGGAGAGAUGGCUCAGAGGUACUUUUUUCUGUCUAUAUGUAUGUAAGGGUAUAUACAUCUACAUGUAUACUGUAUGUUUGCAUAUUGUAUUGUGUACAUUGUACUAAAUUGAAUUAGAAAUAAACACUUGU